rnacentral:ncRNA from 1 species
CAUUGUUAGAAGUCCACUGAACCUUAUCUUUUAGAGACUAAAAUGAUAAGAUUUUUAACAACUCAGCAAGUUUGAUGUAAAACAUUGUAUAAAUUUUUCAACUCAAUGCAAAAGUUAUCACAUUGUAGAAAUACUUUCACGAUGGAGAAUUAGGGUUCAAUUCAGAAGAAGGAGCCUGAGAAACGACUACCACAUCCAAGGAAGGCAACAGGCAUGCAAAUUACCUAAUCCUAACACGGGGAGGUAGUGAUAAUAAAUAACAAUACCAAACCCAUUGAGUCUGAUAAUUGGAAUGAGUACAAUCUAAAUCUGGUGCUAGCAGUCGUAGUAAUUCCAACUCCAAUG